AAAGAAAACACAAUUGACCAAUGAUCAUGUGCCACUGUCCCUCCAUGUAAUAGAUGAUGAUGAUGAAUGAUGUGCUGUUGCUGUGUUCAGCUGGAAGACAGAGAUAUGGGGGUGUCUAGGAAGGCAGGAGAUGGUAGAAGUAGACAUACAGAGCUGUGAGGGGAACACAGCUGACUGACGACACCAGCAGCAGCCCGAUGAAGAGCUGGCCAAAGACAGGAUACUCCAACACCACUGACUUACCCUGAGGAAACAACAGAUCAACUGGUUAGUAGAGGAUCACACUCAUACCUCUCCAAAACCCUGCUUACUUUAUGCACAGCGUGGAUACCUUCAUUAAUUAUUUAAAUCUUUCAGCACAACACCAGGACUUAAUGGUAACUGACCUUGUGUGUUUUUCUAAACACUAACUAGAAAAUCUCCAAACCCCGUUUUGUAUUUGUUGUUUAAUCAUGUAUGACUAUCAUGACUGCUUAAUUUGAAUUUCUUCUGUUUGAUGUUCAGUUUAUGUUCAUUGGGUUAUAAAGAUAUGAAUAAGUCAGAUAUGCAGAGAAGGAGCAGAUAGAAUGCAUAGUUUAAAUGUAUUACUUAGCUUUUAUUAAUUGUUUGCACAACUAUAACCAUAUUUUACUCAUUAUUUCAGCAGAUGCAGCACCAACAUACAUCAGCUGCCUGUUCACACUACCACUGACAGCAUAUUUAGGGUAAUGAUGUAAAUUAAUAUUUGUGUUGUACAUUUGUAUUUUGGAACUUCACAUAGGUUAAUUUUUUCUCUUUCUCUCAGAGACCUCAGCCUCUCUCCUCCCGUUUCACCUGCUUUUAAAGGGGAUGUAAAUGGACUGUACUAGUCUGCUGACCACUCAAAGGGCUUUACAUUACAUAUCACAUUCACCCACUGAUGGCAGAUGAUAACUGCUCAUCAGUUUAAAGAAACUAACUAAUUAUU